GGAUAACUGUGGUAAUUCUAGAGCUAAUACAUGCAAAAGAAUCCCAACGGCGGAGCAAUCCGUUCAGUAGGAAGCAAUUGUUAGAACACUAAAACUGUACCGAGGCAACGGGUUCAUUCUCGCUGCUUCACCUGGUAUAAAAAAUUUAGUGAAUCUGGAUAAUCACUAUGCAGAGCGCGUGGGGUAAACCAGCGCCAGACCUUUGAAGAGACUGACCUAUCAGCUUGAUUGUAGAUUAAAUGUCUACAAUGGCUAUAACGGGUAACGGGGAAUCAGGGUUCGAUUCCGGAGAGGGAGCCUGAGAAAUGGCUACCACAUCUAAGGAAGGCAGCAGGCGCGCAAAUUGCUCAAUCUUAGCUCGAUGAAGCAGUGACCAGAUAUCUUGAUGCGGGACUCUUCCGAGGCCUCGCAAUCGGGAUGCGUUUACUCCAAAAAGGUAAACUGAACGCAAUUGGAGGGCAAGUCUGGUGCCAGCAGCCGCGGUAAUUCCAGCUCCAAUAGCGUACAUAUAUACUGCUGCGGUUAAAAAGCUCGUAGUUGGACUUUUAUACUCGGCCAGACGGCCCUGAUCAGAUUCAUAACCUCUGCCGUGUGAUUUCCACCGCGCAGAAGCAAACAUCUCUAUCUCAUGAUUGGAUACAUUUCCUGACCAUUGCGAAAGGCUUAGAUCCUGGUAUUUGAACGGAUACGUGAGCGUGCGGUGAUGGAAGCUUAUUUUUUUUCGGUAUAUCUGAAAUCAACACUGGCCCAUUCACCCGGUGCGGUAUCCUGAAGAUUAUUUCAUCUCUUUGCUGGACGGUGGGAGGGAACCCUCGAUGUUCGGGAGGUGUUUGGGGACGUGCAUUUAGGACAUGGUUGCACGUGCCAGAGGCGAAUCGUACGGUCAGGUUCUUGCCGAUAUCUGUGUAUCCGAGUGUACCCAUUAAGAUGAUCGAAACGUCUCACUUAACGGGGGAAAAAAGCAAUUUUUUUCCUCGAGAGAAGUCUAGAUUGUCCAUAUCACUUUGAAUAAUUUAGAGUGCUCAGCGCAGGCAACUCUUAAACCAUAACGCUUGAAUGGUAAUGCAUGGAAUGAUGAAAGAUGAUCUCUGGUUCGUUUAGUCGGGGACGAGAGUCCUCGAUUUUAUAUCAGGUAACGGUAGAUGGUACGUUACAAAAAGUUCGAAACCAGAGAUAAUGAUUAAAGGGAACUGCCGGGGGCGUUUGUAUUACGGCGCUAGAGGUGAAAUUCUUGGACCGUCGUAAGACAACCUACUGCGAAAGCAUUCGCCAAGAAUGUUUCCAUUAAUCAAGAACGAAAGUUAGAGUCUAGAAGGAGAUCAGAUACCUCCCUAUUUCUAACCGUAAACUAUGCUAACCGGUUGUCCGUCGGAUGUGAAAUCCGAGACUGGAUGAGUAUCCCCCGGGAAACCAGAGUUUCUGAGUUCCUGGGGUAGUAUGAUUGCAAAGUCGAAACUUAAAGGAAUUGACGGAAGGGCACCACCAGGAGUGGAGCCUGCGGCUUAAUUUGACUCAACACGGGAAAACUCACCAGGCCCAGAACCAUGAGGGAUUGACAGAAUGAAAGCUCUUUCGUGAUUAUGAGGAUGGUGGUGCAUGGCCGUUCUUAGUUGGUGGAGCGAUCUGUCUGGUUAAUUCCGAUAACGAACGAGAUUCUAAUUUACUAAAUAGAAGGUGGAUUUCUUCUCCCGAAAGCCAUCAGGGGUCGUACUCUUUCAAUCGGUGGCACUUGAGAUAUCGUAGCGUAGUCUUGGCGUUGUAGCGCACGGGCAGCUUGCUGUUUCAACCUACACGCGGCGGACUGUGUGAAUGGUCUCUUGUACAACCACCACUGGGAGAAGCUACGGUCUCCUGGCUUAUGUCGGGGAGUCCAUCUGCGUGGUGACACGCAUCAAUUCUUCUUAGAAAUAUCAGUAGUGCAUUAAUUAAAUGAAAGAAAGAGCAAUAACAGGUCUGUGAUGCCCUUAGAUGUUCUGGGCCGCACGCGCGCUACAAUGCACGGUGCACCAAGCAUAUAAUGUCCUUCUCCCAGAUGAGUGGGUAACCAGGUCAAAUCCGGGCCUACUUGGGAUUGGGGCUUGCAAAUAUUUCCCAUAAACUGGGAAUUCCCAGUAAGCGUCGGCUCAUUCAAGUCGCGCUGAUUACGUCCCUGCCCUUUGUACACACCGCCCGUCGCUACUACCGAUUGGAUGAUUCAGUGAGAUAAUUGGACUGUCGCCCUCCUUGGUAUGUCCUCACGGACCUCUGCCUGUUUGGGCUGACGGGAAGAUGCUCAAACUUGCUCAUUUAGA
rnacentral:rRNA from 1 species